rnacentral:rRNA from 1 species
UACAGAGGGUGCGAGCGUUGUUCGGAAUCACUGGGCGUAAAGCGCGUGUAGGCGGCGCUAUAAGUUGGAUGUGAAAGCCCUAGGCUCAACCAAGGAAGUGCAUCCAAUACUGUAGUGCUAGAGUACCGGAGGGGGUGGCGGAAUUCCUGGUGUAGAGGUGAAAUUCGUAGAUAUCAGGAGGAACACCUGUGGCGAAGGCG